GGCUGGCCCAAAGGUACUGAAUUAUCUCACUUGAUUGUUCAUAGUCAGUUACAGAUUGAACUCCUUGUUCUACUAUUUUCCCCCCUUCUCACUACUACAUUUGACUAGUCUUAA
rnacentral:Y_RNA from 1 species